rnacentral:rRNA from 1 species
CACGUAGGGGGCGAGCGUUUUCCGGAUUUACUGGGCGUAAAGGGCGCGUAGGCGGGUUCUCAAGUCGGGGGUGAAAUUCCGAGGCUCAACCUCGGAACUGCCUCCGAAACUGGGAGCCUAGAGGUACGGAGAGGGAAGUGGAAUUCCUGGUGUAGCGGUGAAAUGCGUAGAUAUCAGGAGGAACACCAGUGGCGAAGGCGGCUUCCUGGCCGUAUCCUGACGCUGAGGCGCGAAAGCUAGGGGAGCGAACGGG